UACGGGGGGGGGCAAGCGUUGUUCGGAAUUACUGGGCGUAAAGGCUCGUAGGCGGCCAACUAAGUCAGACGUGAAAUCCCCAGGCUCAACCUGGGAACUGCGUCUGAUACUGGAUGCUUGAAUUCGGGAGAGGGAUGCAGGAAUUCCAGGUGUAGCGGUGAAAUGCGUAGAUAUCUGGAGGAAUACCGGUGGCGAAGGCGGCAUCCUGGACCGACAUUGACGCUGAGGAGCGAAAGCUAGGGGAGCAAACGGGG
rnacentral:rRNA from 1 species